rfam:Pteropus alecto contig50701, whole genome shotgun sequence.
GCAGUGCCCUAUUUAGGAAGGCACUAUUCAUAAUUAUUAUAUUAUGAAGUGCAUCUUCCUGAAUAGAGUAAUGCU